rnacentral:rRNA from 1 species
AGCAGCCGCGGUAAUUCCAGCUCCAAUAGCGUAUAUUAAAGUUGUUGCAGUUAAAAAGCUCGUAGUUGAACUUCGGGGUUUACCCAUUGGUCAGGCUUAAUUGUCUGCACUGGUGAGAUGAAUCUCUACCUUCUGAGGAACUUUCAUGCCAUUCAUUUGGUGUGAUGGGAAAUCAGGACUGUUACUUUGAAAAAAUUAGAGUGUUUAAAGCAGGCUAACGUCUGAAUACAUUAGCAUGGAAUAAUGAAAUAGGACGGACUGAUUCUAUUUCGUUGGUUUCUAGGAUCACCGUAAUGAUUAAUAGGGAUAGUUGGGGGCAUUAGUAUUCAAUUGUCAGAGGUGAAAUUCUUGGAUUUAUUGAAGACUAACUACUGCGAAAGCAUUUGCCAAGGAUGUUUUCAUUAAUCAAGAACGAAAGUUAGGGGAUCGAAGACGAUCAGAUACCGUCGUAGUCUUAACCAUAAACUAUGCCGACUAGGGAUCGGACGAAGUUAAUUUUAUAAUGACGCGUUCGGCACCUUACG